GUCCAGGUGAGCAGCUGGUAAUUUUCUACCGAGUUCCAUUUCCUCCUGUUUCUGCCCCUGGGCGGAGCUGUCAUCCUCUCACCUGUCCAACUCAUCUGGAACUAAUCCUUGGCAAUCUAUGGAGGCUCUCACGUCACGCCACUGCUUCAUACCUCAACUGCACUCACCACCUGUACACUGGUCCAUGCUCACCAUAUUAUUGUUAACCCGCUUCAUGCUCCGUUUCCCUGGAAGGAUCUGAUCACCUGAUACCUGCCUGCCCUCCUGCCAUCAGUUCUUACAUGGCCACUGCACUCAGUUUGCUCUCCGGACCUUCAUCCUCCUCUCCAAGCUCCAAAAACUGCCUGCUAAUUUGCCACGCUAGACCAUCCUGCCACGAGUCACACCCGGAGCUCACCAUUGUUUCCUCUCUCUCUUUUAGAUUGCCAC